rnacentral:lncRNA from 1 species
AGAUGAUGGGGGAGCUGUUCAAAGUAGUGCAGGGGCUCGCCUUGGGGCAGAAAGCAAUGGCUAAGAGGUUGGAGAGGAUUGAAAAAUGGCUAAUAACAGAGAAAGUUCAGGGAAAGGCUCCGUCAUCCGUAGUAAAGAAGCCCUCUGGCAAUGGUCAGCUCAAGAAGGAGGUUGAAUCAGGUGGUGUGAAGGCCAAGAAAGAACGCGGUAAGGAUC